rnacentral:rRNA from 1 species
AUUGAACGCUGGCGGCAGGCCUAACACAUGCAAGUCGAACGAGUGGAGGACGGGUGAGUAAUGUCUGGGAAACUGCCCGAUGGAGGGGGAUAACUACUGGAAACGGUAGCUAAUACAGCAUACCAUCGGAUGUUCCCAGAUGGGCUUAGCUAGUAGGUGGGGUAACGGCUCACAUAUGCCACGAUCCCUCGCUGGUCUGAGAGGGUGAACAGCCACACUGGAACGGAGACACGGUCCAGACUCCGACGGUAGGCAGCAGUGGGAAAUAUUGCACAAUGGGCGCAAGCCUGAUGCGGCCAUGCCGCGUGUAUUAAGAGGGCCUUCGGGUUGUAAAGUACUUUCAGCGAGGAGGCGUUACUCGCAGAAGAAGCAUCGGCUAACUCCGUGCCAGCAGCCGCGGUAAUAC